rnacentral:rRNA from 1 species
CCUACGGGUGGCUGCAGUGGGGAAUAUUGCACAAUGGGCGCAAGCCUGAUGCAGCUAUGCCGCGUGUGUGAAGAAGGCCUUCGGGUUGUAAAGCACUUUCAGCGGGGAGGAAGGCGUUAAGGUUAAUAACCUUGGCGAUUGACGUUACCCGCAGAAGAAGCACCGGCUAACUCCGUGCCAGCAGCCGCGGUAAUACGGAGGGUGCAAGCGUUAAUCGGAAUUACUGGGCGUAAAGCGCACGCAGGCGGUCUGUCAAGUCGGAUGUGAAAUCCCCGGGCUCAACCUGGGAACUGCAUUCGAAACUGGCAGGCUAGAGUCUUGUAGAGGGGGGUAGAACUCCAGGUGUAGCGGUGAAAUGCGUAGAGAUCUGGAGGAAUACCGGUGGCGAAGGCGGCCCCCUGGACAAAGACUGACGCUCAGGUGCGAAAGCGUGGGGAGCAAACAGGAUUAGAUACCCGGGUAGUC